GGUUUUUUUUUUUUUUUUCAUUUUUAACAAUAGUUUGAAGACCUAUUUACAUAUACAUACAAGUAUGUAUACCCUUCACAGAAAAGAGUAAGAGUGAGUGGUUUUAAUGGGUAAGCUGGAAUACACAUACAUAUAUUUUCAGAGUUAGCGCGUUGGAACUUUGCCCCCAGGCUUUUUGCGACAGAUAAUGUGUCAGAUCGCUAUAUAGUAUAGCUGUCAUAGGGAAUGGGAAUGACUUGACAGAAAACUGCAUAUUGAGAAUGCUGCUGCCAUACCUGAUGGUGAUUAUUAAAAGUCACGGGUUGGGAAUACGAACCAUGAUGACCAAAUGCAAAACUCACAGUGAAGGGUGGGCAGCGGAUUCAGAUUCCUCUAAUUUUGGUUACAGACGAAAGAGCUCAAUGCUGCUCCAUUCAUAAGGCACGCGCUGGCAACGACAAUAUUGACCUUUUUGAUACCAGUCUAUACAUACAUAUAUAUGUACAUACGCCUGAAGGCGGCGCGUAAUUCAAAGUGUAUUUUAUAGAGGCGCGCCAUAGAUUGCGUAUGUAUGUGAGUUGUGUUUUCCUUAAUGAAAGCUAAUGAAACGCCACGAACGACGUUAUCAGCAAAUGUACAUCACACUUUAGCUGUCAUGAUAAUCAUUCAUAAAAAAUUUGCACUUGUAUUUGUUAA